GUUUCAGCCGCCGCGGUAAGACGAAGGAUGCAAGCGUUAUCCGGAUUCAUUGGGUUUAAAGGGAGCGUAGGUGGACUGAUAAGUCAGUGGUGAAAUCUUUGGGCUUAACCCAAAAAUUGCCAUUGAUACUGUUGGUCUUGAGUACAGUUGCUGUGGGCGGAAUAUGACAUGUAGUGGUGAAAUACAUAGAGAUGUCAUAGAACACCGAUUGCGAAGGCAGCUCACAAAGCUGUAACUGACACUGAGGCUCGAAAGUGCGGGGAUCAAACAGGAUUAGAAACCCCCGUAGUCC
rnacentral:rRNA from 1 species